rnacentral:rRNA from 1 species
UUUAUGGAGAGUUUGAUCCUGGCUCAGGACGAACGCUGGCGGCGUGCCUAAUACAUGCAAGUCGAGCGAACAGAAAAGGAGCUUGCUCCUUUGACGUUAGCGGCGGACGGGUGAGUAACACGUGGGCAACCUACCUUAUAGUUUGGGAUAACUCCGGGAAACCGGGGCUAAUACCGAAUAAUCUAUUUUACUUCAUGGUGAAAUACUGAAAGACGGUUUCGGCUGUCGCUAUAAGAUGGGCCCGCGGCGCAUUAGCUAGUUGGUGAGGUAACGGCUCACCAAGGCGACGAUGCGUAGCCGACCUGAGAGGGUGAGCGGCCACACUGGGACUGAGACACGGCCCAGACUCCUACGGGAGGCAGCAGUAGGGAAUCUUCCACAAUGGGCGAAAGCCUGAUGGAGCAACGCCGCGUGAGUGAAGAAGGUUUUCGGAUCGUAAAACUCUGUUGUAAGGGAAGAACAAGUACAGUAGUAACUGGCUGUACCUUGACGGUACCUUAUUAGAAAGCC